rfam:Fictibacillus phosphorivorans strain G25-29, complete genome.
CACCCGCUCCAACCGCACAGACCAGGUUUUAAGUAUUUUAUAUACACCUGGGAUGGCGAGUCUGAGUAUAAGA